rnacentral:rRNA from 1 species
GAUGAACGCGUAGCGAUAGGCUUAACACAUGCAAGUCGAGGGGCGAGCAUGGUCUUAGCUUGCUAAGGCUGAUGGCGACCGGCGUAAGGGUGCGUAACGCGUAUGUAACUUGCCUUUGAGAGGGGGAUAACCCGGAGAAAUCCGGCCUAAUACCGCGUAUUCUCAAGUUGUUACAUGGCAUCAUGUAGGAAUGAAAGGAUAAGAUUGCUAGAGGAGAGCUUUGCAUCCUAUUAGCUAGUCGGUAAGGUAGCGGCUUACCAAGGCGAUGAUAGGUAGCCGGCCUGAGAGGGUGGACGGCCACAAGGGGACUGAGAUACGGCCCUU